rnacentral:lncRNA from 1 species
CUCCCUCUCCAUGCCUCUUCUCCUCCCUCUUUUCCUUUCCAUGCCCAAAGGUUGGGUGCCUCUCUUCCAUAUGCCCAAAAGUAGUAUUGGAAACUUAGAGAUUAUAGAUCAAGGAGAAGAAGAAGAAGGCUACUGAUCAAGAAGUUGAUCCCGCAGUCCAGAUCAAAAAAGUUGAUCAAAGUGUUCAAGGUUGAAGUUCUUCUUGGGAAAAAGAAUUUUCUAUGAGGAGAAAAAAAAUUGAGAUAAAUCUUGAUGGAUAUCCGUAGAGACCGGACAUGUAUGCGGCUCAACCUUCUACGAAUCCGAGGUCAUCAGAAGCGGUGAAUAUCUACCUACGUCAAAGUAAUGAUAUCUGAUCUCAUAAGUAUUUUUAAAAUUUUAGAUUAUUGAUAUGUAUUUUUUUCUGAGCUUGGAUAGGUUUAGAUUUGAUAUCUUGCAUGUGAGGUUAAAGGAUGUAAUCCGUUUGAUUUUUCGCUGCCUAUUUUUCAAAAUUUUGAAAUCUACACAUGCUGCCUACUCGAUUUUCUAACAGCACUCAUCUCCUCCUCCAUUGGAUCGGUCGCCCUACUAUAAGGCGACUUUAUUCUCAUCCGAUCGACCCCCUCCAUUGGAUCGACGCUUAUCUCCUCCUCCGUUGAAUCGACGCUCAUCUCCAACCCCAUCGGCCCGCUAUAGAGCCACCGUACUAUAGGGCGACUUCCCC